AGAGUUUGAUCCUGGCUCAGAUUGAACGCUGGCCGCUGGCUUAACACAUGCAAGUCGAGCGGGGAAGGGUAGCUUGCUACCUGACCUAGCGGCGGACGGGUGAGUAAUGCUUAGGAAUCUGCCUAUUAGUGGGGGACAACAUUCCGAAAGGAAUGCUAAUACCGCAUACGCCCUACGGGGGAAAGCAGGGGAUCUUCGGACCUUGCGCUAAUAGAUGAGCCUAAGUCAGAUUAGCUAGUUGGUGGGGUAAAGGCCUACCAAGGCGACGAUCUGUAGCGGGUCUGAGAGGAUGAUCCGCCACACUGGGACUGAGACACGGCCCAGACUCCUACGGGAGGCAGCAGUGGGGAAUAUUGGACAAUGGGCGAAAGCCUGAUCCAGCCAUGCCGCGUGUGUGAAGAAGGCCUUUUGGUUGUAAAGCACUUUAAGCGAGGAGGAGGCUACCGAGAUUAAUACUCUUGGAUAGUGGACGUUACUCGCAGAAUAAGCACCGGCUAACUCUGUGCCAGCAGCCGCGGUAAUACAGAGGGUGCGAGCGUUAAUCGGAUUUACUGGGCGUAAAGCGUGCGUAGGCGGCUUUUUAAGUCGGAUGUGAAAUCCCUGAGCUUAACUUAGGAAUUGCAUUCGAUACUGGGAAGCUAGAGUAUGGGAGAGGA
rnacentral:rRNA from 1 species